GACGAUGGCUGGCGGCGCGCCUAACACAUGAAAGCCGAACGGAGUCAAGAGGAGCUUGCUUUUCUUGACUUAGGGGCGAACGGGUGAGUAACGCGUGAGUAACCUGCCCUGGAGUGGGGGACAACAGUUGGAAACGACUGCUAAUACCGCAUAAGCUCACGGAUCUGGAUGGAUCUGCGGGAAAAGGAUUUAUUCGCUCUAGGAUGGUCUCGCGUCCAAUUAGCUAGUUGGUGAGGUAACGGCUCACCAAGGCGACGAUUGGUAGCCGGACUGAGAGGUUGCCCGGCCACAUCGGCAGUUACAUACUCCCCAGACUCCUACCUGAAGCAGCAGUCGGUGAUAUUGCACAAUGAGUGAAUCCAAGAUGCAGCGACGGUACGUGUAUGAAGAAUAUAUUAGGAUUGUAGACUCUUGUUGUUAGCAACGAUCAUGACCGUACCUAACAAGAAUGCACCAGCUUGCUACUUG
rnacentral:rRNA from 1 species